CCUUCGAUAGCUCAGUUGGUAGAGCGGUGGACUGUAGAAAGUAUGAACAAAACAUCAUAAUAAUAGUAAUCCAUAGGUCACUGGUUCAAAUCCGGUUCGAAGGA
rnacentral:tRNA from 1 species